GGCAAAUGAAGGCAGAAGGCUUGUGUUGCCUGUCUCUGUGAACUUCGAGAAGACUUGGGCCUCAGGUGGAAAGCUGGGUAGGCAGGCGCGAGCUUCUGCACAUCCCAGGCGUCCUGGGAAAGGUGGCUGCAGGUGGAAGCAGGCAGCAGAGGUGACAAGAGCAGGUGACGUCCUCCAGCAAAGGCUGAAGCAGAACUCCCAGCUCCUCCCAUGACCCAGCACGUGCAAGGGUCUCAAGGUGGCCACGAACGUCAGGGGUCCCACGCCAAGCCCGUGGGGCAGCUCCGAGAAGGACCAGCGUCUCCCAGAAAUCAUCAGUGAAAGCACUGGGCAAAGGGUAUGUGCUCUCCGGCGGUACUCGGGAAACUACCAGAAGAAAUUCAUGAAAAGCAUGUAUGGUUGGAAAUGCUACCUAAGAAACGGCUUCCCCUAAGAACAAGGGCUCAGACAGAAGCUAGCCAAGAUCACAGGCUUCCCAGACGAGUCGACGAUCAGAGAUGAGAAAAUACAGCUUCUCAUCUGAAUUCAUUGCUUUGAGCACUUACAUCUCCCACUCUAACCCAGGGAAAGUGGUAUUUUUAUUUCAGCAAAGGUUUGCUUCAUAACAUUUGAUCUUGGAACAUUCGUGAUGGAAACCGGGUUAGGAAAUCCCAUGUCACUGCACCUCCUGCUCAUGUUUGGAAACUUCAGGGCGAGGUCUGGCCACAACCCAGGCCUCCUUCCUCUGCUCCGUGUCACUGAUCUCAUUUCUUAUUACUCCUUGACAGAUUCCAGCCAAGAGAACUUCCCGCACACAUCUCCAUGCAUAGACCAGGCAAUCAAAGCGCUUAUGGGGCACCUACUGUGUGCCAGAGGAAGCCCUGUGUUUUACUCUCCACU